rnacentral:tRNA from 1 species
CCUACCAAACUGAUCGAGACUAUACAAUCCCCUUUCCAAUCAAAAAACCCCAACAUCCAACCAAUUGACU